rnacentral:misc_RNA from 1 species
GCACGGCCUCUAUAGAAAACCAAGGUCUUUUUCAUGCCAAUGGAGAUAGGAUUGGAGCCUGACUUUCUAGCUCUUAUGGUGCGAUCCUUGCCCGUUGCUUUCCAGUAGCCGGCGUCCGUUGCCCUGUUCGAACGUUGACCAUUGGGAUAUUUCCGGUCACGCGGGCAGAAGAAGAACCACUCCGGAUCAUCCGUCUUAAUGACCGAUAGCCCAGGCAAAUCCCAGGGCUCCCAUUUGCAAACAUCGACCUCGGGGACAACCUCGACCUCAGAAUUCCGGCCGUUAAUCUUGAGUCUCAGGUAGUGAUUUAUGAGCUCUUCGUCGGUUGGCCUGAAUCUAAACCCCAGAGGCAGUGAUUCCGUUGACAACACUGCCAUUCAUUCCGCUGCUAUUAAUUUCUGUAUUCAAAUCCAGUGGAAAAUCGGAGGUUGUAUGCUCGUCUUCUAUGCACUGAGAAUAGUUUGGAUGCCACAAUUAAUGGAAAUUAUUGCAAAGCAAACAACACAAAAACGCACACGUUGUCUUCCAUAACUUUUCAAUGCUCUUACUCAGUGCUUUUAAACCCGCA